rnacentral:lncRNA from 1 species
CAAAAACAGGUUUGAGGAACUUUAAUGUAUUUUGUACAUGAUUUAAUCAUUGGGAAGUUUGAGUUAAAUCAUUGGAAAUAGUCCUGAUGCCAAACAAAAUAUGGAAUAUAAGCAAUAAAGCUAUACAUAAUUUUUAUUGUAUUUCAUCAAUUCAUAAUAAAAGUUAAAAACACUUUAAAAUAAUAAUAUAAAUUCAGACUAUAACUUUGAUGAAUAAACUUAACAAAUCAUAAUAAUAGUAAUAAUUAACUUCCCUAAAAAAUGGUAAAUAAAUGCACUAAAGAUGAUAUAGCUUA